UACGUAGGGUGCAAGCGUUGUCCGGAAUUAUUGGGCGUAAAGAGCUCGUAGGCGGUCUGUCGCGUCUGCUGUGAAAACUCGGGGCUUAACCCCGGGCCUGCAGUGGGUACGGGCAGACUAGAGUGCGGUAGGGGAGACUGGAAUUCCUGGUGUAGCGGUGAAAUGCGCAGAUAUCAGGAGGAACACCGGUGGCGAAGGCGGGUCUCUGGGCCGCAACUGACGCUGAGGAGCGAAAGCAUGGGGAGCGAACAGG
rnacentral:rRNA from 1 species